rnacentral:lncRNA from 1 species
AAAUUGUAUGACGUUUUGGGCAUUUCACACAUAUUAAGAAAUGCAAUUAAUAUUGUGUGGAAAUGAGAUAUUAUGAGUUGUUUUACAAAAUUGUCCUUAAUAAAUAAUAUGGGAAAGAUAAAUGAAAUAAUUGAAAGAAGAUGGAGUAAUAAAUAGUUAAGGUUAUAAUAGGAAAAGUAACAUUAAUGUUGCAUUGGUAUUGUAAAGCGACCUAUAAUUUGGGACAAAUCUUUUCUCCUAAAGCGACAUACAAUUUGGGACGGAGGGAAUAUAUUUUAUAAAAGUCAAUGCCAAUGUAUCAUAUUCUAUGCAAAUUCUGUAUUGACUUUAUAAAAAUUAAUCAACAAUAGAAAAUGUAUUCACUAG